UUUGCCACAGAAUGAAACUCGCUUGCUGAUAGUGGGGACCUGGCAAUCUAAAGUUUCAGAGGAUACGCUUUGAGCACGUACAUACAUAUAGACAGACAUGUAUCAUUAUAAUAUAUACUCGUACGUCUACCAUAUAAUAACGAGCGAUACUGUACGUCGAAAUUUCAUGGUUAACGAUGAAAACUACAUUUGAAUUUCACUCAGAAGAACAGUGACCCGGUUCGUGAUUUUUCUUAGGUAAUGUCUAACAUUUACUAUAUACUCUUCUGAGUCUGUGGAUUAUUGAUCUGUAUUGAGAAUAUUCAUGAUUUAGGUAUGACUUUAUAGCGACUAAUAAUGACGCAACGUGUUCUAUUGAAUAAAUACUUCUGAUCUAUAAUAGGUUUUUCCGUGCCAUCAGGGAUAAAUUCUAAUCUAGAGAAACGUAACAUGAUAAGAGAGACGGUUAAGUGGGUCGGCCAUUCAGAUUCCAUUAUCUUGCGAAGAAGAGACAUUUUUUAAUUAUAUCUGCUACUUCGUUACCUAAUAUCACUGUUUCACUGAAUCUCAGGCUUAUAAUGUCUACGGGUGACAUGAUCUUACCUAGGAAUAUUAAGGAUGACUGCAGACUCUAGCUAAGUAUUAUUGAAAGAAUUUUUCUAAUUGACACUUUUUUAAUUCACUGUAAUAAUGGUAUUCAUCAAACGAUAAAGUAUCAUUAAACCACAAGGACACAAAUAAGCGGCUAAUGUUCUUAAUCGCUAGGGGUUGUUAUUUUAUAUAAUAAAAAAAAAUUACGCCAGUCAGCAUUGUCAUUCUCAUUAGGUAAUACGUAUAAAUGCAAUGUUUUCUUUUUUACAUGAUUGUGAAGAAUUUUAAACGAUCGAUGACAGAGUGUGACGACAGGGAAGAUGCUGUAUGUUAAAAACAAACUUAACAUUACGCAAAUAAGAUCUACGACUUUUCAAAGGCGAGUCAGAUGCUGUCAGAAAUGUUUGUACUGUUUUGCAAUACCGGAUCCUUGUAUCUGACCGAAAUUUUUGAGCGACUUUAAAUAAAGAAAAAGCUGGAGCAGAAAUAGUAGCUGGACCAAAGUCAAAGUGUCCUAAUACAAUUCGCAGCAGAAAGUGAAAGAUGUUGAAAAUAAAUUAAAAAAUCAAAUAAAUCACUAUGCUCGAAGACACUCCAUCAUCCCGGAAGUGCAAGUCUUCUCGUUCUUAUCUGUUACCAGCAGUCGUAAACACUUCUAGAGAAUAGAAUUUUUCGAAGCUCCCGCCGCCACUAGCCUCUACGUGCUUACCAAUCCAUAAAGUCCAUGAUCUAUGAAGUUAACUGAACGAGAUCAAAGCAGCCAGUAAAUACAUAUACGAAAUGACACGUGCAAGAGAUGGAAUGAUGAUUUUACGAGAAAAGACAAAAGUUAAUUCUGCUUUCGUUGGAAACAAGGAAAAUCGAAGUUUGCAAAUGUGCACAAGUUCGAUGUGUAACAAAGCAGCGCAGUCGGAUAAUGAGUCAGUUUAGCGAUAAACAGCACAGCACCCAUUCUGUUGUUCCUGCUGACUACUGCUGACGGACAAUGAGACAUAAGGCUAAUGAUUCACAUAGCGUUCGUAUAUCAUUGACGGCGACGGCGACGCCAAGUUGCGUGGUCAGAGUGUUCCUACCGGACGUUAGACGUCCUUUAAUGAGUGGAGGCUAUACGAAUCAGGAUGACGCGGAUCCUCGUGGCAAACUCAACGUCCAUUUGACAUCCUGACGAGGAUUUCACAAUAAUUCUUUUAAAUCACUGCACAGCUUAUCAAAUCCAACAUUACUAGGUAUGGCAGAUUUUACAGCUUCGAUACUUGGAAACUCGGUAUUAUAGUCAUAAACACGUGUUUCCAUAUGCUGAACUUUCCUGACCUCAACUCUGCAAGCAAACUAACCUAAGAAAACGUGCGUGACUUCGCAACGAGUUUCUUGUCUACCUAAUUUUUUUUCUCUCUUCUUUUCUCUCCUCUUUUUUUGCCUCCGCCAAUAUUAUUCCGGACAUUUACCGGGGACAAACAUGUAAGAUGGCAGUCUGUAAUCGUCGUUACGUAUUUCAUGGCUGGGCCUUCUUCAUUUUCUUAAUAGGAGGAUCCCUUAUCGUUCAGAUGCAUUUGAAAACCUUGUUUAUGUCAUCCGACAACUACUUGGAGAUAACUUGUCCGAUUAGGAAUGCUCUAGUUUUCAAAGCUUUUGUGAAUAAUCUAGUGUUAAUAUAUACGUAAUUUUCUUUUCUAAAGUUACAUUUGAUGAGGAUGACAUUACGAAAUUUUUAAAAAUUAUCCAAUUUCUUCUUAAAAUUUUCUAAUUGGCAUUGUGCUUCGAAUAAGUAAUCGUGGUUUAAGAUAAAAUGCGUCACAAGUCCAAGGCGGAUAUUGCGAUAAGUUUCAUUACAAAAUUUAUAUUCCUACGUCUUAAUCAAUUACUUGAUUAUACUUGUCUUCCACAACAGAUGAAAUAUUGUAGCUCCGGAAUGUCCUGUCAACACGAAAAUUGUAAUCUUUAAGUCACCGAUAAAUAUACUGCUACCGAUAACUUGGACCGCGAGAAAAAUAUCGGCGUCGACUUUACUUAAGGCAGUUGGCUGUUACUAUGCGUUUAUCUAUUACGGUAUCGAAUCAGAUUGAGAAGAUUAGACGCUUAAAAAGUACGUAAUUUCAAAUUCGCAUUCGAAAAUGCAUACUUAUAAUAUAGCCGAUACGAUUUACUCGGUCAUUCCAGAAAAAUUUUAAUGCACUUCCGGUUGUCUUGUGAACAUUAAGCAGUUUCCAUGCACGUGACAAAUAUGCUGCGUCACGUUAAGUAUACAUCUGUGCAAUUAGUUCACGGAAAUUGACUUCUUCGACCUUGACUUAUGUUAGUAGCCAGGAUAAGUAUAGAGGUAUAGGUAUCUACUGGUAUAAGUAUAGUGCAUUUAAUACACCACGUAUGAAAAACGUGCAUGCAAAUAAUGCAAUGCAUUAAAAUAUUUGCAAAAACCUAAGGUAAUAAACUAUUUAAAUCUUAA